UACGUAGGGGGCAAGCGUUGUCCGGAUUUAUUGGGCGUAAAGAGCGUGUAGGCGGCCAGACAGGUCAGCUGUGAAAACUCGAGGCUCAACCUCGAGACGUCGGUUGAAACCGUCUGGCUAGAGUCCGGAAGAGGAGAGUGGAAUUCCCGGUGUAGCGGUGAAAUGCGCAGAUAUCGGGAAGAACACCCGUGGCGAAGGCGGCUCUCUGGGACGGUACUGACGCUGAGACGCGAAAGCGUGGGUAGCGAACAGG
rnacentral:rRNA from 1 species